AUUGAACGCUGGCGGCAGGCUUAACACAUGCAAGUCGAGCGGAGAGAGGUAGCUUGCUACUGAUCUUAGCGGCGGACGGGCGAGUAAUGCUUAGGAAUCUGCCUAUUAGUGGGGGACAACAUUUCGAAAGGAAUGCUAAUACCGCAUACGUCCUACGGGAGAAAGCAGGGGAUCUUCGGGCCUUGCGCUAAUAGAUGAGCCUAAGUCGGAUUAGCUAGUUGGUGGGGUAAAGGCCUACCAAGGCGACGAUCUGUAGCGGGUCUGAGAGGAUGAGCCGCCACACUGGGACUGAGACACGGCCCAGACUCCUACGGGAAGCAGCAGUGGGGAAUAUUGGACAAUGGGCGGAAGCCUGAUCCAGCCAUGCCGCGUGUGUGAAGAAGGCCUUAUGGUUGUAAAGCACUUUAAGCGAGGAGGAGGCUACUUUAGUUAAUACCUAGAGAUAGUGGACGUUACUCGCAGAAUAAGCACCGGCUAACUCUGUGCCAGCAGCCGCAGUAA
rnacentral:rRNA from 1 species